GCCUAACACAUGCAAGUCGAGCGGAUGAGAGGAGCUUGCUCCUGGAUUCAGCGGCGGACGGGUGAGUAAUGCCUAGGAAUCUGCCUGGUAGUGGGGGACAACGUUUCGAAAGGAACGCUAAUACCGCAUACGUCCUACGGGAGAAAGCAGGGGACCUUCGGGCCUUGCGCUAUCAGAUGAGCCUAGGUCGGAUUAGCUAGUUGGUGAGGUAAUGGCUCACCAAGGCGACGAUCCGUAACUGGUCUGAGAGGAUGAUCAGUCACACUGGAACUGAGACACGGUCCAGACUCCUACGGGAGGCAGCAGUGGGGAAUAUUGGACAAUGGGCGAAAGCCUGAUCCAGCCAUGCCGCGUGUGUGAAGAAGGUCUUCGGAUUGUAAAGCACUUUAAGUUGGGAGGAAGGGCAGUAACUUAAUACGUUGCUGUUUUGACGUUACCGACAGAAUAAGCACCGGCUAACUCUGUGCCAGCAGCCGCGGUAAUACAGAGGGUGCAAGCGUUAAUCGGAAUUACUGGGCGUAAAGCGCGCGUAGGUGGUUCGUUAAGUUGGAUGUGAAAUCCCCGGGCUCAACCUGGGAACUGCAUUCAAAACUGUCGAGCUAGAGUAUGGUACAAGGUGG
rnacentral:rRNA from 1 species